rnacentral:lncRNA from 1 species
UAGUCGAUAAGGAUUUAUAAACCGUCUCAGUUUAAUGGUUUUUUGAACUUUAUGACUAAGUCAUAGAGUUGCACCUCUUAAUUCGAAAGAACUAAGAAUGAAAAUCCUUAUGACUACAAUGAGUGUAUAUAUAUGAUAUAUACUCAAGGAAAUGGUAAGAUACCAUUUGACUCGAAAUAAUGAAACCUUAAUAGCUAAUUGGUAGCUUAAGGUGACUACAAUCAAAAAGGAUGGUUGACUUUGAAGAAACCAUUUUUGACGUAGUCUUGG